UACAGAGGUCUCAAGCGUUUGUUCGGAUUCAUUGGGCGUAAAGGGUGCGUAGGCGGCGCGGUAAGUCGGGUGUGAAAUCUCGGAGCUUAACUCCGAAACUGCAUUCGAUACUGCCGGUGCUUGAGGACUGGAGAGGAGACUGGAAUUUACGGUGUAGCGGUGAAAUGCGUAGAUAUCGUAAGGAAGACCAGUGGCGAAGGCGGGUCUCGUGGACAA
rnacentral:rRNA from 1 species